UGCUGGUGUAUGGGUUGGUUGAUUUGUAAUGCAAAGGCGGGGGAAACCCUUUUUCAUGAGUCAUUUCAGCUCUAGGGGAAUUAUUCCCUCGCGCUGCAACAAACUGGAGCCAUUAAUACACAGUUGCAGAAACAUGAAAGUGAGAUGAAGCAAUGAUUCCACCAACAAAUCGAACGAAAUCACGACCUAUUAGUGACGAAUCAAAACUAGGAAGACCUCUAUCGUUGGCACAAACUGAUGAUGGAUCAAGCGAUUAGUUGUCGUUUACCCCCAAACAAGCUACGCCGCUCUCUAAGAUCCAAAAUCGACAAGCAGUCAAGCAUAACCGGCAGGCCCGUAGACUCCAAACGGAUCUCAAAAAAUCACCACAGAUGGGAAUUCAAAAGGAAGGCGUGCAGACCAGGAAUCGAGA
rnacentral:lncRNA from 1 species